UACGUAGGGUGCGAGCGUUCAUCGGAAUUACUGGGCGUAAAGCGUGCGUAGGCGGUUCGUUAAGUCAGCUGUGAAAGCCCCGGGCUCAACCUGGGAAUGGCCAUGGAAACUGGCGAACUGGAGUGCGGCAGAGGGGGGUGGAAUUCCGCGUGUAGCAGUGAAAUGCGUAGAGAUGCGGAGGAACACCGAUGGCGAAGGCAGCCCCCUGGGCUAGCACUGACGCUCAGGCACGAAAGCGUGGGGAGCAAACAGG
rnacentral:rRNA from 1 species